GAAGAGGUAAAAUGAUCUUUAUUUGCAAUUUAUAUAAUUGUGCACUUGAAAACUCCAAAGAACAACCAGAAAACUAUUAAAAUUCAUAAAAUAAUUAGAUAAGGCACUGGUUACAAUAUUUGUAAUUCAAAUCAGGAUGUUUCCUAUGUACAAUCAGAAAACAUAAUGGAGGUAAACAUUUCAUUCACAAAAGCAUUAACAGAUGACAUGCUUUGGAAUAAACACUAAGAGACCUACCUGAAGAAAAUUUGAAAAUGCCACUGAAAUACAAAACACUCGCAUAUACAUGGAUAGGAAGAUUCAAAAUUAUAAAGAUGUCACUUCUCCCUAAAUUAAUCUAGAGACUCAGUAUGAUUUCAAUCCAAAUGCCAACUCUCUGGGGGGCUGAUAUGAAAUUGUCAUACAACUUGAAUAAUAAACAUGAGAAUACAGUUGGCCCUUUGGUAAAAGAUUGUCAUAAAAUCAUUCAAAAUACAACUUGAAUAUAACUGUGAGAAUAUAGUCAGCCCUUCAUAUCCAUGGGUUCUGCAUCCAUGGAUUCAACAAAGGAGGGAUAAAAAAUACUUCAAAAAGACUGUGUCUGUACUGAACAUGUACAGACUUUUAAAAAUGUCAUUAUUUCCUAAACAAUACAGUAUAACUAUUUACAUAGUAUUAGAUAGUCUCAUCUAAGUAAUCUAGAGAUGAUUUAAAACAUACAGGAGGAUGUGCAUAGGUUAUAUGUGAAUUCUAUACCAUUUUAUACCAGGGACUUGAGCGUCUGUGGAUUUUGGUAAACCAACCAACAAACAAAAAUGAGAACAACCUAGAAGCUAUUUUUUCACAGAGAAGAUUAGUAACAAUGAAUAUUAUUACUAAUAAGAUGACUUUUUUUUGAGACAGGGUCUCGCUCUGUCCCCCAGGCUAGAGUGCAGUGGUGCUGUCAUGGCUCACUACAGCCUCAACCUCCUGGGCUCAAGCAAUCCUCCUGCCUCAGCCUCCCGAGUAGCUGGGACUUACAGGUGUGCGCCACCACGCCCGGCUAAUUUUUCUAUUUUUUGUAAAGACGGGGGUCUACCUAUGCUAUUCAGGCUGGUCUCGAACUCCUGGGCUUAAGCAAUCCACUCUCCUUAGCCUGCCAAAGUGUUGGGAUUACAGACUUGAGCCACUGUGCUUGGCAAGGCUACUCUUAAUUAAACAGUGAAUGAAUACAGGUUUAUAAGCAUUCAUGUAAACAGGUAUUUUCCUAUACUGUUGGAGAGAACUUAAAAAUGAUAUAACCCUCCUGAUGAGCAACUGGUAAUGCUUAAAUUUAAAAUGUAAUUUGGCAGAGCAAUUUCUAAAAAUACAUCCCAUAGAUAUAUUCGCAUAAGCGAAUAGGAGGAUGUGCAUAGGUUUUCAGAAUUUUUUUUUUGUAAUCAACAAAACUUGAAGCCAACCAAGUAAUUGGAAAAUGCAAAAUUAUGAUAUAUUCAUUCACUGUGAUUGACAACUACCCAAUCACAGAAGAAAAACCCAGUGGGGUACAGCAAGAGGUACUGAUACGAGAUGUCUUAAAACACUGAACUGCUAAGUGACUAAAAUCAAGAUGCAGAACUGUAUGCAGAGUAUGAUACAAUUUCUGGAAAAAUAUGUACAUGAAAUUCUUACUAGUAGUUACCUCUAGUGAAUGGGAUUGUUGGGGGGAUGAGGACUUUUAUUUUUUACUUUAACUCUUCUGCACAUUGCAUAUGGAUUGAAGCUUGCUUUGUAGGCAAAUGUGGCUUAUUUACGCUUUUCCAAACUCUGCAAUUCAUCCAGGAAGGUCUCUUCAUAUGACACCCACAUUCCCACUUCUGUGCCUUGGGCUCAGGUCCUACUCUUCCAUUUUCUUUGCACAUUUAAGUCUUGUCCAUUCUUCAAGGACCCGCUCAAAUGCCAACAAUUCCAUGAGAACUUUCUAAACUCCUUAAAAGUACACUGCUCUCUUCCUUCUUGGUAUUUCCACUGUACACAGCUGUGCAUUUGAUUAUUCUCUCACUUAUAUUUGUUGACUUUUUCCAAUUUCUAAGCAUCUUAAGAGGACGAAGUAUGUUUAAAAUUAUUAAAAUUCUUCUGCACUCCCACAUUACAGUCAAUAUGAAGCAUAGCAUUCAAUACUUUUAAAUAUGUGAUAGUUUCCUCAGG
rnacentral:lncRNA from 10 species